rnacentral:tRNA from 1 species
GCCGCACUAGCCCAAUCUGGCAGAGGCACUGAGCUCAGACCUCAGAGGUUCUUGGUUCGAAUCCAAGGUGUUGCA